AGAGUUUGAUCAUGGCUCAGGAUGAACGCUAGCGGCAGGCCUAACACAUGCAAGUCGAGGGGUAACAUAGGAAAGCUUGCUUUUCUGAUGACGACCGGCGCACGGGUGCGUAACGCGUAUACAACCUGCCUUUUAGCGGGGAAUAGCCCAGGGAAACUUGGAUUAAUGCCCCAUAGUAUGGAGAUCUCUCCUGAGAUUUUCAUUAAACAUUUAUGGCUAUUAGAUGGGUAUGCGUCCUAUUAGUUAGUUGGUAAGGUAACGGCUUACCAAGGCAGCGAUAGGUAGGGGUCCUGAGAGGGAGAUCCCCCACACUGGUACUGAGACACGGACCAGACUCCUACGGGAGGCAGCAGUGAGGAAUAUUGGACAAUGGGCGAGAGCCUGAUCCAGCCAUGCCGCGUGCAGGAAGACUGCCCUAUGGGUUGUAAACUGCUUUUACAGAGGAAGAACCACUCCCACGUGUGGGAGUUUGACGGUACUCUGCGAAUAAGGAUCGGCUAACUCCGUGCCAGCAGCCGCGGUAAUACGGAGGAUCCAAGCGUUAUCCGGAAUCAUUGGGUUUAAAGGGUCCGUAGGCGGGCAGUUAAGUCAGUGGUGAAAGUCUUCCGCUCAACGGGAGAACUGCCAUUGAUACUGAUUGUCUUGAGUUAUUAUGAAGUGGUUAGAAUGAGUAGUGUAGCGGUGAAAUGCAUAGAUAUUACUCAGAAUACCGAUUGCGAAGGCAGAUCACUAAUAAUAUACUGACGCUGAUGGACGAAAGCGUAGGUAGCGAACAGGAUUAGAUACCCUGGUAGUCUACGCCGUAAACGAUGGUUACUAGCUGUUCGGCCCGAUUAAGGGCUGAGUGGUUAAGCGAAAGUGAUAAGUAACCCACCUGGGGAGUACGUUCGCAAGAAUGAAACUCAAAGGAAUUGACGGGGGCCCGCACAAGCGGUGGAGCAUGUGGUUUUAAUUCGA
rnacentral:rRNA from 1 species